UACGUAGGGGGCGAGCGUUGUCCGGAUUCAUUGGGCGUAAAGCGCGCGUAGGCGGCUGAGCAAGUCGGAUGUGAAAGCUCCAGGCUCAACCUGGAGAGGCCACCCGAUACUGCUCUGGCUAGAGUCCGGUAGGGGAUGACGGAAUACCUGGUGUAGCGGUGAAAUGCGCAGAUAUCAGGUGGAACACCGGUGGCGAAGGCGGUCAUCUGGGCCGGUACUGACGCUGAGGCGCGAAAGCGUGGGGAGCGAACAGG
rnacentral:rRNA from 1 species